rnacentral:rRNA from 1 species
GACGAACGCUGGCGGCGUGCUUAACACAUGCAAGUCGAACGGAAAGGCCCUGCUUUUGUGGGGUGCUCGAGUGGCGAACGGGUGAGUAACACGUGAGUAACCUGCCCUUGACUUUGGGAUAACUUCAGGAAACUGGGGCUAAUACCGGAUAGGAGCUCCUGCUGCAUGGUGGGGGUUGGAAAGUUUCGGCGGUUGGGGAUGGACGCGCGGCUUAUCAGCUUGUUGGUGGGGUAGUGGCUUACCAAGGCUUUGACGGGUAGACGGCCUGGGGGGGUGACCGGCCCCAUUGGGACUGGGAUACGGCCCAGACUCCUACGGGAGGCAGCGGUGGGGAAUAUUGCACAAUGGGCGAAGCCUGAUGCAGCAACGCCGCGUGCGGGAUGACGGCCUUCGGGUUGUAAACCGCUUUCGCCUGUGACGAAGCGUGAGUGACGGUAAUGGGUAAAGAAGCACCGGCUAACUACGUG